GGUCCUACGGGAGGCAGCAGUGGGGAAUAUUGCGCAAUGGGCGAAAGCCUGACGCAGCGACGCCGCGUGAGGAAUGAAGGUCUUCGGAUCGUAAACCUCUGUCAGCAGGGAAGAACGGUCACUGUGCUAAUCAGCAGUGAAUUGACGGUACCUGCAAAGGAAGCACCGGCUAACUCCGUGCCAGCAGCCGCGGUAAUACAUAGGGGGCAAGCGUUAUCCGGAAUUAUUGGGUGUAAAGGGUGCGUAGACGGAAGAACAAGUUGGAUGUGAAAUGCCUCAGCUCAACUGAGGAACUGCAACCAAAA
rnacentral:rRNA from 1 species